GACGAACGCUGGCGGCGUGCUUAACACAUGCAAGUCGAACGGACUAUUUCAUUUCGGUGGAGUAGUUAGUGGCGAACGCGUGAGUAACGCGUAGACAACCUACCUCUUAGAUGGGGACAACAUCGCGAAAGCGGUGCUAAUACCGAAUGAAGUGACUUUCCUGCAUGGGAGAGAUACUAAAGGUGGCCUCUAUUUAUAAGCUACCACUGAGAGAUUGGUCUGCGUCUGAUUAGCUAGUUGGCGGGGUAACGGCCCACCAAGGCGACGAUCAGUAGCCGGUCUGAGAGGAUGAUCAGCCACACUGGAACUGAAACACGGUCCAGACUCCUACGGGAGGCAGCAGUGGGGAAUCUUGCGCAAUGGACGAAAGUCUGACGCAGCCACGCCGCGUGAGUGAAGAAGGCCUUCGGGUUGUAAAGCUCUGUCGCCCGGGACGAAAAGCCGGUGGGUUAACAGCCCAUUGGUCUGACGGUACCGGGAAAGGAAGCACCGGCUAACUCCGUGCCAGCAGCCGCCGUAA
rnacentral:rRNA from 1 species